rnacentral:rRNA from 1 species
AUACAGAGGGUGCAAGCGUUAAUCGGAAUUACUGGGCGUAAAGCGCGCGUAGGUGGAUACUUAAGUCGGAUGUGAAAGCCCCGGGCUCAACCUGGGAACUGCAUUCGAUACUGGGUGUCUUGAGUAUGGUAGAGGGAAGUGGAAUUUCCGGAGUAGCGGUGAAAUGCGUAGAUAUCGGAAGGAACACCAGUGGCGAAGGCGACUUCCUGGACCAAUACUGACACUGAGGUGCGAAAGCGUGGGGAGCAAACAGGAUUAGAAACCCCAGUAGUCC